rnacentral:rRNA from 1 species
GCUCAACCUGGGAACUGCAUUCGAAACUGGCAGGCUAGAGUCUUGUAGAGGGGGGUAGAAUUCCAGGUGUAGCGGUGAAAUGCGUAGAGAUCUGGAGGAAUACCGGUGGCGAAGGCGGCCCCCUGGACAAAGACUGACGCUCAGGUGCGAAAGCGUGGGGAGCAAACAGGAUUAGAUACCCUGGUAGUCCACGCCGUAAACGAUGUCGAUUUGGAGGUUGUGCCCUUGAGGCGUGGCUUCCGGAGCUAACGCGUUAAAUCGACCGCCUGGGGAGUACGGCCGCAAGGUUAAAACUCAAAUGAAUUGACGGGGGCCCGCACAAGCGGUGGAGCAUGUGGUUUAAUUCGAUGCAACGCGAAGAACCUUACCUGGUCUUGACAUCCACAGAACUUUCCAGAGAUGGAUUGGUGCCUUCGGGAACUGUGAGACAGGUGCUGCAUGGCUGUCGUCAGCUCGUGUUGUGAAAUGUUGGGUUAAGUCCCGCAACGAGCGCAACCCUUAUCCUUUGUUGCCAGCGGUUAGGCCGGGAACUCAAAGGAGACUGCCAGUGAUAAACUGGAGGAAGGUGGGGAUGACGUCAAGUCAUCAUGGCCCUUACGACCAGGGCUACACACGUGCUACAAUGGCAUAUACAAAGAGAAGCGACCUCGCGAGAGCAAGCGGACCUCAUAAAGUAUGUCGUAGUCCGGAUUGGAGUCUGCAACUCGACUCCAUGAAGUCGGAAUCGCUAGUAAUCGUAGAUCAGAAUGCUACGGUGAAUACGUUCCCGGGCCUUGUACACACCGCCCGUCACACCAUGGGAGUGGGUUGCAAAAGAAGUAGGUAGCUUAACCUUCGGGAGGGCGCUUACCACUUUGUGAUUCAUGACUGGGGUGAAGUCGUAACAAGGUAACCGUAGGGGAACCUGCGGUUGGAUCACCUCCUU